ensembl:lncRNA
CCCCUCUUAAAGAUAAGCAAGUCUAUUUGCGUUUUGUCUUUAAUUUGAUCCUUCAGUUACUCUUGGGCAGUAUUAAGUCAGCUUUUGGUAAGUCAGCAAAACUCAUGGAUUAAACCACUACCUCACUCAAGGACUGGAACAAGUUUUGGACUACUGAGGUAAGGGGAUUACCUAACUCUGGGUAAUGGAAUCUUUUUGGAGGUUUUGGUACCCUGUUUGAUUGUCUUAGGUUAUGAUCUGCACUUGAGCUUGCAUACGCAUUAACUUUUUCUGUUUCUUCUUCCAGAUCCUGUGCAUCCUUGGACAUAUCCUUUUCCUCUUUAUCAGCAGCUGGAUCGGAUGAUGGCUUGGAAAUGUUUUUGGCAUCUGGAACACUUUCCUCCGGAGAAGCAAGGAAACCACAAGUGGUGUGGUCAUGAUACUUGGACUCGGGAUCGUUAAUGGGAAGGACUCAUGCGAU